rnacentral:rRNA from 1 species
GGGGGAUAACUACUCGAAAGAGUGGCUAAUACCGCAUACGCCCUACGGGGGAAAGGGGGGGAUCGCAAGACCUCUCACUAUUGGAGCGGCCGAUAUCGGAUUAGCUAGUUGGUGGGGUAAAGGCUCACCAAGGCAACGAUCCGUAGCUGGUUUGAGAGGACGACCAGCCACACUGGGACUGAGACACGGCCCAGACUCCUACGGGAGGCAGCAGUGGGGAAUUUUGGACAAUGGGGGAAACCCUGAUCCAGCCAUCCCGCGUGUAUGAUGAAGGCCUUCGGGUUGUAAAGUACUUUUGGCAGAGAAGAAAAGGUAUCCCCUAAUACGGGAUACUGCUGACGGUAUCUGCAGAAUAAGCACCGGCUAACUACGUGCCAGCAGCCGCGGUAAUACGUAGGGUGCAAGCGUUAAUCGGAAUUACUGGGCGUAAAGCGUGUGUAGGCGGUUCGGAAAGAAAGAUGUGAAAUCCCAGGGCUCAACCUUGGAACUGCAUUUUUAACUGCCGAGCUAGAGUAUGUCAGAGGGGGGUAGAAUUCCACGUGUAGCAGUGAAAUGCGUAGAUAUGUGGAGGAAUACCGAUGGCGAAGGCAGCCCCCUGGGAUAAUACUGACGCUCAGACACGAAGGCGUGGGGGAGCAAACAGGAUUAGAUACCCUGGUAGUCCACGCCCUAAAACGAUGUCAAACUAGCUGGUUGGGGCCGUUAGGCCUUAGUAGCGCAUCUGACGCGUGAAGUUGACCGCCUGGGGGAGUACGGUCGCAAGAUUAAAACUCAAGGAAUUUGACGGGGGGACCCGCACAAGCGGUGGGAUGAUGUGGAUUAAUUUCGAUGGCAACGCGAAGAAACCUUACCUACCCGUGGACAUGUCUGGAAAAGCCGAAAAAAUUUGGCCGUGCCUCGCAAGAAAAACCGGAACACAAGGUGCUGCAUGGCCUGUCCGUCGAGCUUCCUGUCAUGAGAUUGUGGGUUAAGUCCCGCAACCGAGCCGCAAACCGUUGUGUCAUUAAUUUGCUA